rnacentral:misc_RNA from 1 species
CUAUUGUAGAAUUGUUUUGUUUGUUUCCCGUUUUCUUUAUAGAGCACGUGGGAGAGCGCCGCAGCUGCUGCGGCUGUGGCGGAUGUGGCGGCCAUGGCGUGGCGACCUGUGGCAAAUGGCGGCAUGAAGAAGAAGCUGAUUUGAGGAGUCGUCGCUGGACUGGGAGAAGUACAUGAAGGACAAUAACAAAAUUCUCGGAGAAUUUGAGUGCCUUGACAAAUCACCAUUUAGAUACUUUCUUGGGGAACUAUAUGGUGGCAAUUCACUGGGAAGCACAAUUGCAGUGGGCAAUGAGAAGAAGCGGCAGCGGGUGUACAACACUAUGUUUCAUGUCCCAUGGAGAUGUGAACGGGGAAAUUCAGAGUCGUGUUCGCCUCAAUUCCUGCACCCAUCUUUGCAGCUCUAUAUUGUUCAACAAAAGAUUUGGAAGAGGAGGUCACCGAAGGGAAGAGGCUUCCUCUCGAGGAGGUGGAAGAGAACGCAUGCAUCAGCCACUGAACAGAACAAGCAGGCGAUUUUUUUGUGUGGAUGGCGUCUGCCACAAAAGGAUUGAAUCGAGGAG